GAGACGAAGAACAGAUAAAACAAGCGCUCCACCUAAGGUAGCACCGUACAAUGGGAGCAGCGUGGACAUCAGAGGCAGAACUUGAGAAUUCCGUGCACACUGACUGCAAGUCUGAAGAAGGGGAGUUAACGGGAGGAAAGGAAAGUGACUUCCUUUAUUGUUCCUUGUCACAAAUCUGAGGUCUGUCUGUCUCCUUCCCUCCUCCUUCCCCCCCACCCCGCCCCCCUCUCUCUCUUCCUUUCUGUGGAAAGGCAGAGUCUCCCACCCCUGCCUCUGCUUCCAGAGGUGAGGAGUAUUCUUUAUCUUUACUUUCUGGCUGGCUCUCCAAGAUGUUGACAGACAUAGAGCAGGAUGCCGUCUCUGGUCAAGUCCCAAUUAACCCAGGGCUCAGGGUUGAUGAUGUGGGGGAUGCUGCUGUGUAGUGGGCCCUUCCCAUCUCAAUGCUCACUAGGUCUGCAGAGCCUGGUGGGCCCUCUCUUGAGGGAGUCUGGCUCUUUGAGAACCAUCUCUUAGUUCUCAGGCCUGCGGAUGUAUAAAGGUUCACCCACCCAUGUUCUAGUGUCCAGAUGUUAGCCAGACUCUAGAGGACCCCUGCUGUGCGUUGACAUUCGCCUGUCCCUCAGCUCCACUUCUCUUGUCCCUUAAACCUGUUCUUCCAGAAUCCUGGCCUGGUGACUCCUCAGUCACAAGGGUGCACACUGCUCCUUGGAGUGCCACAGUCCCUGCACACUGCCAGUCCCCAUUUUCUGUCCUUGGAAUCUCUCUUGACAUUCCUCCUGGGAAAACUCAGGGUGCAGUUUGGGAGAGGCAGAACUUUCAACUGCCCUUUCUUUUAAAACUGCCUUCCAAGACCUGAUCUCACACCCCUGCACCCUGUAGCUGCACAUCUCCUAUAUUUGUUAAGGUUGGGGGACAUAGUGAGUUCUCAGUGUCUAACAUUCUAAUGCUCCCAAGAGAAACUUGUUUUCCUAGUUCCCUUAAAAACGUGAACUGGUGCCUCAAACAGAGACCAGCACAGACCUCCUCAGGGCGGCACAGAAUAACUGGCUACUCUGAGAAUCUCGUUUUUCUUGCUCCACAGAAUCUGAUUGAAGCGGAAGGGAAAUAGAAGCUGAAGGAUCUGCCAUCUAGAGACUCCAGGCUUCUCUGAGCAAAUAUUCCAUAGUAGGGGACCUCUGGCUUCUUGGCAUAGAUACGGCAACUUGAACUUGGCCCCCAUAAGGGUGCAUAUGCUGUUCCAAGUCAGGAUUGCACACAGCAACUGACCAUACUGUGCACGGGGCAAAUAUUUAUGGGACAAUAAAUGUGAGCGAAGCAUGUUUGUGUUCUGUGCCUAACUGGCGAUGGAACACGCAGAUCGACUGAUUUCCUCCAUCCCCGUGGGAGGAGCUGUGGCCCGUGUCCUCUCGGAUCUGCCUUAGAGUGCUGGCCCUUCAAGCCUAGGACAAGAGAUGGGGCUGGGGCAAGGGGAUGCCCUCAACUGAUUUAGGACUCAGGCUUUGGGAAGAGCACAGGGCCCGGCGGUGCUGCUGUGUGUGACCCAGGUGGACCAUGACUUCAGAUUCCCCCUGUAUAAGCGGAGUAUCUUUGCUACUUGGGAUAGGGAUUAUCCUGUGAAUCAAGCUUUUCGUAGACCUCUGCAAGAACAAAGAAGAAAGUGAACAUGAUAUGACCAAUGCUUUCGGCAAAUAGAAGCAGGGGAAAUCGCUCCGGGACAAUAAACUUCUCUGUUUGGGACGUCAAUCUCACUGGGAAUUUUCAGACAAAUCAUUCAGAAAAUACACUCAAUCACGCAACAGUAGUAGAUACCAUGUGAUCAUUCCAACAUGACCGCAACGCACUGAAUAGUUAUUGCUUCUUUAUUUUUAAAUAGCCCAUAGGCAGAACAAUAAAAAAAAAAACAACUCAAGAAACAAAUUCCAAAGGUUAGAUUUUAGAAAUCCUGCUGUUAGAUUUUAGAAAUCCUGCUGUUAGUAACUGUCACACAAGUGUCUUAGCAGAGGGGCAGAUAACUGUAGUCAAAGAAAUAUUAGUAUCCAAGGAUAAUUUGCGCACUUGUCAGUAUAAAUUUUUAAAUGAAACAGAAAGCCGGGGCUGCGUUUCUUUUCGUUAAAGCAACCUCCUGUGCUUCCCCGGCCUGCUCGCUAUUGUUAUGUGGCGGGUAGAUUUCACAUUCCUUCUGCAUUAUUGUAACAGACAAGUCUAAGACACUGUCUAAUGUUAAUUCUACACACUGCUGCCAAUUAUAAUCAGAGCUAGUCAAAAUAAACAAAUUAAACAAAUAAACAUGU
rnacentral:lncRNA from 1 species